AAUAGAUACCCGGGUAGUCCACGCCCUAAACGAUGUCUACUAGUUGUCGGGUCUUAAUUGACUUGGUAACGCAGCUAACGCGUGAAGUAGACCGCCUGGGGAGUACGGUCGCAAGAUUAAAACUCAAAGGAAUUGACGGGGACCCGCACAAGCGGUGGAUGAUGUGGAUUAAUUCGAUGCAACGCGAAAAACCUUACCUACCCUUGACAUGUCAGGAACCUCCGAGAGAUCGGAGGGUGCCCGAAAGGGAGCCUGAACACAGGUGCUGCAUGGCUGUCGUCAGCUCGUGUCGUGAGAUGUUGGGUUAAGUCCCGCAACGAGCGCAACCCUUGUCAUUAGUUGCUACGAAAGGGCACUCUAAUGAGACUGCCGGUGACAAACCGGAGGAAGGUGGGGAUGACGUCAAGUCCUCAUGGCCCUUAUGGGUAGGGCUUCACACGUCAUACAAUGGUACAUACAGAGGGCCGCCAACCCGCGAGGGGGAGCUAAUCCCAGAAAGUGUAUCGUAGUCCGGAUCGCAGUCUGCAACUCGACUGCGU
rnacentral:rRNA from 1 species